UGCCAGCAUGAGCAAAGAGUUUAUUUCAGCAGCCACGGAAAAGCUCAGGACAGGUUACAGGGUUCACAAGGGAAGGGGAAAGAAAAAUUUCCUUGGGAAUUGCUGGAGACACGCAAAGCUUUCCAAACACGGCACAGGAUCUGAGGCAUUCGUGUGGAUCAUCCUGUGGAUCCUGUGGAUCACCCGCAUGCUGGGGUGAUGGGGCCAUCACUUAUUUGAGGACACUUGGUAGAUUUGCUGCUGGCACUCCUGCUGAUUUCCAUGGCAGGAUCCUCCGCUGGUCCCGUGGCAACUGGAUCCGCUGCUCCCAUGGCAACUGGAUCCGCCACUGCUUCCACGGCAGCCAGAUCCGCUGCUGUGGCAACUGGAUCCACUGGUCCCACGGCAGCCAGACCCGCCACUGCUUCCAUGGCAGCCAGAUCCGCUGGUCCCACGGCAUCCAGAUCCGCCACCGCUCCCGUGGCAACCGGAUCCGCUGCUGUGGCAACCAGAUCCGCUGCUCCUCUGGCAUCCAGAUCCGCCACCGCUCCCGUGGCAACCGGAUCCGCUGCUGUGGCAACCAGAUCCGCUGCUCCUCUGGCAUCCAGAUCCGCCACCGCUGCCGUGGCAGCCAGAUCCGCUGCUCCUGUGGCAACCGGAUCCGCCACCGCUGCCGUGGCAACCGGACCCGCUGCUGUGGCACGAGGCCCGUUCCUGCUGGUGGCACUGGUCCUUGUCCUGGCGGGAGCACAUGGCUGGAGACCUGCUGAGAAAACUCGCCUGACCACUUUGUAA
rnacentral:lncRNA from 12 species